rnacentral:tRNA from 1 species
GGACCCGUAGUCUAGCGGCUAUGACGUCUCCUUGACAGGGAGAAGGUCGAGUGUUCGAAUCACUCCGGGUCCA